rnacentral:rRNA from 1 species
CCUACGGGUGGCAGCAGUGAGGAAUAUUGGUCAAUGGACGCAAGUCUGAACCAGCCAUGCCGCGUGCAGGAAGACGGCUCUAUGAGUUGUAAACUGCUUUUGUACGAGGGUAAACGCAGAUACGCGUAUCUGUCUGCAAGUAUCGUACGAAUAAGGAUCGGCUAACUCCGGGCCAGCAGCCGCGGUAAUACGGAGGAUUCAAGCGUUAUCCGGAUUUAUUGGGUUUAAAGGGUGCGUAGGCGGUCGGAUAAGUUAGAGGUGAAAUCCCGAGGCUUAACUUCGGAAGUGCCUCUGAUACUGUUCGGCUAGCGAGUAGUUGCGGUAGGCGGAAUGUAUGGUGUAGCGGUGAAAUGCUUAGAGAUCAUACAGAACACCGAUUGCGAAGGCAGCUUACCAAGCUACUUCUGACGUUGAGGCACGAAAGCGUGGGGAGCAAACAGGAUUAGAUACCCGAGUAGUC